UACGUAGGGGGCAAGCGUUGUCCGGAUUCAUUGGGCGUAAAGAGCGUGUAGGCGGCCAGGUAGGUCGGUUGUGAAAACUGGAGGCUCAACCUUCAGAGGUCGACCGAAACCAUCUGGCUAGAGUCCGGGAGAGGAGAGUGGAAUUCCUGGUGUAGCGGUGAAAUGCGCAGAUAUUAGGAAGAACACCCGUGGCGAAAGCGGCUCUCUGGAACGGUACUGACGCUGAGACGCGAAAGCGUGGGGAGCGAACAGG
rnacentral:rRNA from 1 species